UUGGGCAUCUUCUUUGGUGGCCGACAAAAGCCAUCAUUAAGUAUAUCAACUUGACUCUUUGUUUGAAAAGCAUAUCUCGGGGAAGUCGAGAUCGGUGAAGUUGAGAUCGGUGAGUGAUAUUCCUUAAGGGUCACCAAGGUCUGCGCCCGCAACAUCAAUGCUCCAGUGUGAUUGUAAUCAAGUUCAAGAACUGAGGUACAUUCAUCUGCUGCCUUUUUGAAAUCAUGGAGCUUCAAGAAGCAAGCAGCUUGUCAUCCCCGUAAUCAGCCGAGUCAAAAUACACAUCGUCGUUUCCUAACAGCCCGUUAAGCG
rnacentral:lncRNA from 1 species